ACGAACCGUCCAAACGUUAUUCGGAAUCACUGGGCUUAAAGGGUGCGUAGGCGGCGCUGAAAGUUGGGUGUGAAAUCCCUCGGCUCAACCGAGGAACGGCGCCCAAAACUACAGUGCUUGAGGGAGACAGAGGUGAGCGGAACUUGCGGUGGAGCGGUGAAAUGCGUUGAUAUCGCAAGGAACACCAGUGGCGUAAGCGGCUCACUGGGUCUCUUCUGACGCUGAGGCACGAAAGCUAGGGGAGCGAACGG
rnacentral:rRNA from 1 species